rnacentral:rRNA from 1 species
CCUACGGGAGGCAGCAGUAGGGAAUUUUCGUCAAUGGGCGCAAGCCUGAACGAGCAAUGCCGCGUGAACGAGGAAGGUCUUCGGAUCGUAAAGCUCUGUUGAAGGGGAAAAAGAGCGGAGAGAGGAAAUGGUCUCCGCUUGAUAUUACCCUUCGAGGAAGUCACGGCUAACUACGUGCCAGCAGCCGCGGUAAUACGUAGGUGGCGAGCGUUAUCCGGAAUGAUUGGGCGAAAAGGGUGCGUAGGCGGCCUACUAAGUCUGGAGUGAAAGGUACCGGCUCAACCGGUAUAGGCGCUGGAAACUGGCGGGCUAGAGAGCAGGAGAGGGCGGUGGAACUCCAUGUGUAGCGGUAAAAUGCGUAGAUAUAUGGAAGAACACCAGUGGCGAAGGCGGCCGCCUGGCCUGUUACUGACGCUGAGGCACGAAAGCGUGGGGAGCAAAUAGGAUUAGAUACCCCUGUAGUC